GUUAUAUGGUCAAGUGAAGAAGCGCAUACGGUGGAUGCCUUGGCAGUCAGAGGCGAUGAAAGACGUGAUAGCCUGCGAUAAGCUUCGGUGAGGUGGCAAAUGACCUGUGACC
rnacentral:rRNA from 1 species